ACCUUUUCAAUCAAGUAUUAAACAAAAACCAUGUCGAUGAAGGUUUUAUGAAAAAAAAGUAAUUUUUAUAAAAAAACAUGAUUGUCUUUUCUAUUCUUUCAUCUCUCUUUUUUUAUUCAUUUUAAGUUUUUUCUCAUGUUCUUCUUCCUUCAUAUUAUUAUGAGGUAGAUAAGCCUUAUAGCUAAAGGAAAAAGCAAGAGGCCAAAUCUUUCAAAGCUUAAUAAUUGGUUAAAAUUGAGAAGUUAUUAUUAGGUUUACUUAAUACCUUAAAAUAAUUAGUCAAAAAAUGGAUCAUGAGGAUUUCAAAAUGAACUUCUGGAUGUAAUGACCCCUUCAGUGACCUUGAGAAACUACAAAUAUUUCCUUCAUGUAACAUAACACCAAUUUUGAAACACUCUUUGUCAUAAAGCAUCUCCAUCUCGUCUACCUACUUCAACAAACCAUAACUAUAAUUAUUGUUUAAAUCACAAUUAAUUAUUCAAACUACAGGCAUAACGAAAUAUGAAAGUGAAGAAAGUAAGGGCGUUUGAAAAGUGGAGGAUCCUCCUACACACCCUGACCAUUAAAACCCUUCAAUGGAAUGAAAUCCCUCCUUAAAGCAACCUUCAUUGAAAAGGGGCCUCCAUUUCAAGAGCGCCAUUCAUAACUGAUCUCUCAUUCAUAACUGAGCCAGGGGCACCUGCUUCCCACUCUCUCUCUCAAUCAACAAUUAAUCCUCCCAAACUCAAUAACUGACCCACACCAAAAUAUAAAACUGCUACUAGGUGCCUUGGGAUGCAUCAUUUAUGUGGGAGGAGCCAUUUCAAAUUCCAAGUCGUC
rnacentral:lncRNA from 1 species